rnacentral:rRNA from 1 species
GAUGAACGCUAGCGGGAGGCCUAACACAUGCAAGCCGAGCGGUAUUGUUUCUUCGGAAAUGAGAGAGCGGCGUACGGGUGCGGAACACGUGUGCAACCUGCCUUUAUCUGGGGGAUAGCCUUUCGAAAGGAAGAUUAAUACUCCAUAACAUAUUGAUUGGCAUCAAUUAAUAUUGAAAGCUCCGGCGGAUAGAGAUGGGCACGCGCAAGAUUAGCUAGUUGGUGAGGUAACGGCUCACCAAGGCGAUGAUCUUUAGGGGGCCUGAGAGGGUGAUCCCCCACACUGGUACUGAGACACGGACCAGACUCCUACGGGAGGCAGCAGUGAGGAAUAUUGGUCAAUGGGUGCAAGCCUGAACCAGCCAUCCCGCGUGAAGGACGACUGCCCUAUGGGUUGUAAACUUCUUUUGUAUAGGGAUAAACCUACCCUCGUGAGGGUGGCUGAAGGUACUAUACGAAUAAGCACCGGCUAACUCCGUGCCAGCAGCCGCGGUAAUACGGAGGGUGCAAGCGUUAUCCGGAUUUAUUGGGUUUAAAGGGUCCGUAGGCGGACUUAUAAGUCAGUGGUGAAAGCCUGUCGCUUAACGAUAGAACUGCCAUUGAUACUGUAAGUCUUGAGUAUAUUUGAGGUAGCUGGAAUAAGUAGUGUAGCGGUGAAAUGCAUAGAUAUUACUUAGAACACCAAUUGCGAAGGCAGGUUACCAAGAUAUAGCUGACGCUGAGGGACGAAAGCGUGGGGAGCGAACAGGAUUAGAUACCCUGGUAGUCCACGCCGUAAACGAUGCUAACUCGUUUUUGGGCUUUAGGGUUCAGAGACCAAGCGAAAGUGAUAAGUUAGCCACCUGGGGAGUACGCUCGCAUGAGUGAAACUCAAAGGAAUUGACGGGGGCCCGCACAAGCGGUGGAUUAUGUGGUUUAAUUCGAUGAUACGCGAGGAACCUUACCAAGACUUAAAUGGGAAUUGACAGCUUUAGAAAUAGAGCUUUCUUCGGACAAUUUUCAAGGUGCUGCAUGGUUGUCGUCAGCUCGUGCCGUGAGGUGUUAGGUUAAGUCCUGCAACGAGCGCAACCCCUGUCACUAGUUGCCAUCAUUCAGUUGGGGACUCUAGUGAGACUGCCUACGCAAGUAGAGAGGAAGGUGGGGAUGACGUCAAAUCAUCACGGCCCUUACGUCUUGGGCCACACACGUAAUACAAUGGCCGGUACAGAGGGCAGCUACACAGCGAUGUGAUGCAAAUCUCGAAAGCCGGUCUCAGUUCGGAUUGGAGUCUGCAACUCGACUCUAUGAAGCUGGAAUCGCUAGUAAUCGCGCAUCAGCCAUGGCGCGGUGAAUACGUUCCCGGGCCU